AGAAUCAACGCUGGCGGCGUGCCUAACACAUGCAAGUCGCACGAGAAAGGGGAGCAAUCCCUGAGUAAAGUGGCGCACGGGUGAGUAACACGUGAAUGAUCUACCUCCGAGUGGGGAAUAACUGAGAGAAAUCUUAGCUAAUACCGCAUAACACUUACGAGUCAAAGCAGCAAUGCGCUUGGAGAGGAGUUCGCGGCCGAUUAGUUAGUUGGCGGGGUAAUGGCCCACCAAGACGAUGAUCGGUAUCCGGCCUGAGAGGGCGCACGGACACACUGGAACUGAAACACGGUCCAGACUCCUACGGGAGGCAGCAGUGGGGAAUUUUGCGCAAUGGGGGAAACCCUGACGCAGCAACGCCGCGUGGAGGAUGAAGCCCCUUGGGGUGUAAACUCCUUUCGAUCGGGAAGAUAAUGACGGUACCGAUAUAAGAAGCCCCGGCUAACUUCGCGCCAGCAGCCGC
rnacentral:rRNA from 1 species